rnacentral:lncRNA from 1 species
AUCUAGAAGUAGAAUAUAAUUCUCCUGUCCUUUUAUCUAGGUUGGACUUAGUGGCUUUCUGAGCAGAAGUGACAUUUUGAGACUUCUGUGGUUAGGACAUAGGAUGAGCUUCUUAGAAUAGUUCUACUUUGGUUACUCCUAUUCAGAUACCAGCCAGCAGGCAGGCUGUGAGAAGUCCAAGCCACAAAGAGAAACCAUCUGUAGACAUUCUAGGAGGGAAAUAGCUUCAGAUGAGCUUCCCAACAACACCAAACAGACUGCUAUCCAUGUGAGGGAGCCAUCUUGGAUGUCCAGCUAAGUCAAGCUUUCGGACAACUCCAUCCCAUUCACUAAAAUAAACCUUACAAGUGGUGCCAAAACCCUGGAGGAGUUAUAAGACCCCUACCAGGGGAGACUGACUCCACUCGAAGCUGGACCAGGGAACAGCUCCAGCGCAAGGGAGCACGCAGACCGCACCCUCUUAGUUGUUCCAGGACCAGAGGACUUCCACCCAGCGACACCUCUGCAACCAGGUGACAGCUUUCUUCUCUGAGAACUCAAAGCAGGAUCCUUGCAACCCAGGUGGUCAGGACCCCACAUUGUUAUCCUAAUCACCCCCACAGCAGCCAAACUCCUAGGCCACACUCCAUGGUACCAUGUGUUCCUCAAACUGGCCCCCCUAAAUAAAUCAGUGGAAAUCUGAACUCUUGGGCCCCACUUGCCUCUGCCUCACCCAUAACCCCUACCCAUCAACUCCUAACCCUUCAAAUUCUCCUCCUAACAAUUCUUCUGGUAUCCCC